UACGUAGGGCGCAAGCGUUGUCCGGAAUUAUUGGGCGUAAAGGGCUCGUAGGCGGCCAACUAAGUCGGAUGUGAAAUCCCCAAGCUUAACUUGGGAACUGCAUCCGAUACUGGAUGGCUUGAAUCCGGGAGAGGGAUGCAGAAUUCCAGGUGUAGCGGUGAAAUGCGUAGAUAUCAGGAGGAACACCGGUGGCGAAGGCGCACAUCUGGCCCGAUACUGACGCUGAAGCGCGAAAGCUAGGGGAGCAAACGGG
rnacentral:rRNA from 1 species